GAGUUUGAUCUUGGCUCAGAGUGAACGCUGGCGGCAGGCCUAACACAUGCAAGUCGAACGGCAGCGCAGCAGUAGCAAUACUGUGGGCGGCGAGUGGCGGACGGGUGAGGAAUACAUCGGAAUCUACCUUGUCGUGGGGGAUAACGUAGGGAAACUUACGCUAAUACCGCAUACGACCUACGGGUGAAAGCGGCGGACCGCAAGGCGUCGCGCGAUUGGAUGAGCCGAUGUCCGAUUAGCUAGUUGGCGGGGUAAGAGCCCACCAAGGCGACGAUCGGUAGCUGGUCUGAGAGGAUGAUCAGCCACACUGGAACUGAGACACGGUCCAGACUCCUACGGGAGGCAGCAGUGGGGAAUAUUGGACAAUGGGCGCAAGCCUGAUCCAGCCAUGCCGCGUGUGUGAAGAAGGCCUC
rnacentral:rRNA from 1 species